rnacentral:rRNA from 1 species
GACGAACGCUGGCGGCGUGCUUAACACAUGCAAGUCGAGCGAUGAACCCGGAGCUUGCUCCGGUGGAUUAGUGGCGAACGGGUGAGUAACACGUGAGUAACCUGCCCUUGACUCUGGGAUAACUGCGGGAAACUGUAGCUAAUACCGGAUACGACCCUCGGCGGCAUCGCCAGGGGGUGGAAAGAAUUUCGGUCAAGGAUGGACUCGCGGCCUAUCGGCUAGUUGGUGAGGUAACGGCUCACCAAGGCGACGACGGGUAGCCGGCCGGAGAGGGUGACGGGCCACCAGGGGACUGAGACACGGCCCAGACCCUGACGGGAGGCAGCAGUGGGGAAUAUUGCGGAAUGGACGAAAGUCUGACGCAGCGCCGCCUCGUGAGGGACGAAGGUCUUGGUAUUGUAAACCUCUUUCAGCAGGGACGAAGCGAAAGUGACGGUCCCUCCAGAAGAAGCACCGGCUAACUAUGUGCCACCCGCCGCGGUAA